CCCCCAGCUUUGAUGUAUACUCUAUGAGGCAGAAACCCUGCUGUCCUUCCUCACCAUUCACCGUGAGCAGGGUCUAUAACAUACUGGAGGUACAGCAGGUGCUCAUGAAAUAUUUAUUGAGUGAAUUAUGGCAGUGGUGACAAAUACCUUAUUUCUCCACAAGGCUUUAAACCAUAGCUAUAAAGUGUGGUAAAAAAUGUAUGACUGUGAAAAAAUUUUUAAUUAUUACAAUAAGAGACAUACUGUCAUUAAUCCCCUUCAAAAUACUUUUUUUUGCUUUGAACACAUUUAUCUCAUCAUUCCUGCCGCUUCCUGAAGCACUUCUGGAAGUCUUCCUUUGUGAGGGUCUUUAAUCGUGCUAUCACACCUGCCUUGAUGUCCUGAAUCUAUCCAAAACAUUUACUUUUCGUGGUCAUUUUGGCUUGGGAGAAGAGCCAGAACUCUGUGCCAGAUCCAGGGAGUAAGGUAGGUAAAGACACAGCACCAUAUUUUUAUGGGCCUGCCUUUCCCUUGGAUAGCACUCAGCAGCAGCCGCCGCCUCUGUUCCUGAUCACACUUUGUAAAGACACUCAUGAAAGAGGACUUCCAGAACUGCUUCAGAGAGUUGCAAGAAAGAUGGGAUAAGCAUGUUUAAAGCGAGGGGGAGUAUUUUGAGGGAGAUUCAUGACAAUGUGUCUUUACUAUAAUAAAUGUUCAGGAAAAAUAUAUAUUCAUAUUCACCAUAUCUUUUGAUCACACCACAUAGAUGUUUUCAGCCUUGCCCCAAAUCUGCCAGGUUCUGAUUCGGCCCGUCUGAGGGGGUUCUCAUGCCUCCAGUCCCCUCAGGGCUGUAGAUGUCCAAUGCCGUGAUUUAGGCUCUGGAGAGGAAGAGAACCAGACAGAGGUCACCAGAGCUGAGCCUCUCACUGUCCUGCCCCAGGUGGCCUGGCUCUCCCUGGCCAGCCCUGCAACCAGGCCCCCAGGUUGGUGUUGGGGCUGAACACAGAGGAAGCAGUGGCUGCUGAGCUCACGGAGUCUGGCCAAGCCACGUCUGAGAGGCCCUCUCGGGAGGAGAGGCAAGGCAUGGGCCGUGGUGCCCUGUGGCUUUUUCCUCCUGGCCUCAUAAACAUCCAUCUCUGCUAGGAGACGCUAUAUUCAGUGGGAAGCUGAGAAACUGAAAUCGCAACCAGACAUAAAUACGGGGCAUCCCCCCCUUCCUCUGUGGGGAGCGGCAGCCUAGCCCGGCAGACACAGCAGGUGGAGGGGCUCCCACCCCAAGACAGCCAGGGCCACAUCACCUGCUCCCGGCACAGUAACUGGCCCACGUGACAUAACCCUUGCUCUUCUCUGUGCCCAGGCACCAGCUAUGACAGCUACAAGCUGUUUCUCCGUGGGCAAAUCACUCAACCGCUCUGAUCCCCCCCGGCCUCGUGGGGGAAAUACGUGAUAAAAGCACCUGCCCCACGGUGCUCACAGAGCACAGAGAACACGCUCCACAAGGCUCUUAGGACAGCGUCUCUCUCAGCACAUUUCUAAAAAUAUGCUUUAUUGGAUUUCUCCUUUCGAGCUACAGAGGCAGUACACGUCCCUGACAACAUGCCCAUCGGCAGAGAGGUGAGCGGAAGAAAAGCUCUCAUCUGCCUUCCCUCCAACCUCCCGGGCCCUGCCCGCCCCCACGAGUUCCCGCAGGAGGUGACAGUCAGCGCUUUGCCUUCUCCGCUCUUCAGGGCCCUUCUCGGCACGUGCGGCUUCAUUUUUACAGAAAUGGCCCAAUUUCGCAUGCCUUUCCCGGGCUAGUGUAGCUCUCAGAGGUCCGCGUGAACUUCUGAGUCCCCGCUGGUGGCAGCCGGGCCACGUCCCUGUCCAGCCCAGCCGCGCUGCAGGACCCGUCUCCCGCCUGCUUUCUCUGGGCGGAGCCGCAGGGCACCGGGCAAAGGGCGCGGUUUUGUGCUCCGGCCCGGGCCGUGCCGCGGACCAGGUGAUCUGAGCGGCCCGGCCCAGCAGCGCGGGCCACACUGGCUCCGGGUCUCCGGGGGGCGCUCCCUUCCUGACACCAGGCUGGACACACGAGCGAAGGCCCGCGUCACCUUAUCCCUUGCCACGGCCCAGAGGGACAGGUGAUGGGUGGGGUGGGCGGCAGGUGAGGUGAGGCCUUGGGAUUGGGCCCCCAGACUCUGAGCAGUGAAGCCCGCGGGUGUCAGCCCAGGAAUGCUCCUGUGCGCCGCGGCUCUCAGGCAGGUCCCUGGGUGCCGCUCCUCACCGAUGGUCACAGACCGACCCAGAGAACGACACACGGGGAGCCAGGUGGAGGGGACACCUGGGCAAAGGCCCCGCCCAGGCCACUCUGGCUCCCAGACCAGGGUCUCCUCCCUGGCCAGGCCUGGGUGCUGUCCCCUGAGCUGGCUCCCUGCGCGCCACCCUUACCUCAUGUCAUCCGGUUACUCGGCCAGCAAUUAUUGAGCGCCUCCUGUAUGCAGGGCACCGUGCCGUGCCAGGGGGUGUGCUGGGUGAACAGAUGAGGCCACAUCCUCCCGGCUACCAGGGUCCUCCAAACAUGCCACAUCCCGUCCCGGGAACUGUGCGGACCGUAGUUACUUCAGGGGCGCAGGGGACUUGGCAGGCAGGAUUACAUGGGGGUUGAGAGAUGAGAUAAUUACUCCGCAUUACCCCCUCGGGGCCCAUAUCAACGCAGCCCUUCCCCGAGGGAGGCAGGAAGGCCAGCAGGAGAAAGUGGGGAGGGAGGCAGGGAUCAGAGACCUGAGGAGUUGCUCCCGGAGGGAGGGCCAGGGGCCCAGGAUGCCAGCGGCCCAGAGCCCCUCCCCUCGCUUCCAGGAGACAGGCAGCCCCGUCCUGUUCUAGACUUCGGCCCCCAGAACUGUAAGCAAGAGGAGGCAGAUCCUAAGUUCCGUUAGGACAAGAUGUGAAAUCUGGUGAGAACACAGUGCAAGAGAAAGCACAGCCCCUCCUGAUGAGAAAGGAUCGCGGGUUUCAGAUCAGCGACAGCAGAGCAUUCCAAGUACCGGCUCCUCUGUGCACACAGCCUCGUACAGCUGCCCGGGUCGCACACUCACCGAGCCUGCCCUGAAUCCCACCACCAGGAGUCCAGCGGAGCAAUCAGGGCAGAAGUAAAAGCACAGGGUCCCGAGAGAGUGUGGGACCGUGGGGAAGCCAGGCUGGGGUGCGCAGAGCUCUCUGAGGGCCACAGUUUGCUCUGGGGCUGGGGAGUGGGAGGUGUGGGAGGGCUCUGCGCCCCCUCACCUGGAGAAGCAGCGCAUCCCCCCGCAUCCCCCGCAUCCCCGGCGGCGAGGAGCGCCCUUCCGCCUUCCCAGGCUUGGCCUCUCCUCCCCUCCCCCUCCCCUCCCCUCCGGCCUUCCUUUAAUUUCCUCGGCUGGCUUUAACACCGCCCCCCUUCCGGGGUCAACUCCGCCCUUCACCUCUGUCCCUGUGGACCGUUUACAGUCAGCUCAGCGUUGGGGUACCUUUGGACUGAGAGUAGCGGAGGUGGUGUGGGGCGCCCAUCCACCUUCCCCCAAGACGCCGCCUCCCCUGCCGCCACGGAAGCGGAGAAGCGGAGCUCGCACGCUGCUAACCAGAGCCCGUGCAUCCCCCUCUUCCUCUUCCGCUCCAGGGCGCAGGUGCUCCCCUCCUGUCCUUGAGUUAAUCCAGGUGCCACAACGCCCUGGGCUCAGCGAAACUUGCUUAAACCUCCCCGGAUUCUCACCCUCACCUGCUCUCCACUUCGCGAGGAGAUGGAGGCCCAAGGUGCUGAGGAGCCACCCCGUGAAAACAUCUGGUUCCCCCAGGGCCGUUGCUCUGCCCAGCACUCCAGUGUCCCUCCUCCCAGAGCUUUCCAGAGAGUCAGUGCAGGCUCUCUCCUCCCUUACUCUCUGCUUAGUAUUUUUUCUCAAAGCAAAUUUAUUUUUUUAAAUCAAAAAUAGUUUUGUUUCUGUGGUACUGGGAGCUGAACCCCGGGCUUUCACACUGAGCUACAUCCCCAGCCCUUUUUUUAUUGUCUUAGCCGCUCAGGCUGAGCUUGAACUUGACAUCCUCCCGCCUCAGGCUCCCAGAGUGCUGGGAUUGCCGGCGGCGUGUGUCACCGCCACAACCAGCCUCGAGAGUGGUUUUUGAAGGCUGCCGCACCACGCGCUAUCCUGGCUGUAACAGCAAGGAGGAAGAGGGCACUUCAUCCUACGUUCAAGCAGAUACUGGCGCCAGGGUUCUGGGUGAAUGCAGAUGGGCCCCUCCUCUGCCCCUCAAGAAUGGCUCUCUGUCCUGGGGAGUCACUGGCUGGGGCUGGGGAUGAACCCAGGUGAGUCACCUGCAAAGGUAAACACUAACUGGCUCCCUGUUUCCUAAGCACCUACUUGGUGCCAGGUGCCGCGUGGCAUCUGACAGGCUUUGAGGUUAGUCCUGUUUAUGAACCCUGUUUCACAAAGGUUCAGGGAAGCAAUGGGGCUAGGCCAGGGGUGCACAGAAGUCAGGGGGAUCUGAACAAGUCCCCUGCCACCUUCCAAUCACCUCUGAUCACGUCUCCUCAGGAGAUGCCAGGGGCUUGUCUCUGGGGUGACCGGGAGGCCGAGAACUUCCUCUGGUUCUGACAGAGCUUUCCAGAAUCCGACAGCUCCUUGAGUGUCCUGCACAGGUUGCUUUAGGCAAAUCAGUGUAGGAAGAGAUAUCUUCCCUACAAAGCCGCUGGGGCAAGGCGCAUGGCAGGGGCUGGAAAGGCAGCACCAUUUUCUGCAGCUUUGGCUGCAACCAGCCCCAAGGCCUGCCCACGGGGACCUGAUGCUGACAGCCUUUAACUCAACCCCCUGGCCCCAGUUGUCAUAGAGGGACACUCCGGGAUGCAAGACUCCCAAGUCUCCCCGUGCUGUCAAGGAGAGGAGGAGCGCCCCCCCCCCCUGAACUGAGUCAGGGCAUGAGGACACAGCUACCCAGACGGGAGGCUCCCGCAGCUCGGCCUCACUUCCUGCCACCAGAGGGCUGUUUCAAAGCGAGGUGUGUCAGGAAACCCACUGGCCCCCAGCACAGCGAGAGCCUCACUCUAGUUGCCUGCCCUGCCCAUCACGAACGCCACCCCCUGGGCCUCGGUUACCUCCUCCCGUCAUCGGAGCAGCCCAGGGUGGGAACUGCUCUUACCCUCUCCCCUCCAGGGAGGAACUCAAACGGAGAGAUUGAGCUACCACAAGAUGGGCCUGAUCCAGUGUGAUGUUCAGACCUCAGCAGCCACAUUCAAAACAUGCUUUUGUUUUAAACACGUUGACGUCUUUUAAGUUUGAAAUUUUAGAGAGCAUGUCUGUAUUUUCCCCCCUAAAAAGCAAUGAGCACGCCUGUGUCCCCCUGCCAGCCCCAUUCCCCUGACGACGACGCACGUCCCAACUCCACAAGUGACAUGCAGCCACUCAGUGCGAGUCCAAGCUAAUACAAA
rnacentral:lncRNA from 1 species